GAACGCUGGCGGCGUGCCUAAUACAUUCAAGUCGAGCGAACAGACGAGGAGCUUGCUCCUCUGACGUUAGCGGCGGACGGGUGAGUAACACGUGGAUAACCUACCUAUAAGACUGGGAUAACUUCGGGAAACCGGAGCUAAUACCGGAUAAUAUAUUGAACCGCAUGGUUCAAUAGUGAAAGACGGUUUUGCUGUCACUUAUAGAUGGAUCCGCGCCGCAUUAGCUAGUUGGUAAGGUAACGGCUUACCAAGGCAACGAUGCGUAGCCGACCUGAGAGGGUGAUCGGCCACACUGGAACUGAGACACGGUCCAGACUCCUACGGGAGGCAGCAGUAGGGAAUCUUCCGCAAUGGGCGAAAGCCUGACGGAGCAACGCCGCGUGAGUGAUGAAGGUCUUCGGAUCGUAAAACUCUGUUAUUAGGGAAGAACAAAUGUGUAAGUAACUAUGCACGUCUUGACGGUACCUAAUCAGAAAGCCACGGCUAACUACGUG
rnacentral:rRNA from 1 species